rnacentral:rRNA from 1 species
CCUACGGGGGACAGCAGUGAGGAAUAUUGGUCAAUGGUCGGGAGACUGAACCAGCCAAGCCGCGUGAGGGAUGAAGGUACAGAGUAUUGUAAACCUCUUUUGUCAGGGAACAAAGGCGGGGACGUGUCCCCGGAUGAGUGUACCUGAAGAAAAAGCAUCGGCUAACUCCGUGCCAGCAGCCGCGGUAAUACGGAGGAUGCGAGCGUUAUCCGGAUUUAUUGGGUUUAAAGGGUGCGCAGGCGGUCUGUUAAGUCAGCGGUCACAGGGCGGGGCUCAACCCCGUCCAGCCGUUGAAACUGGCAGUCUCGAGUUGGAGAGAAGUAUGCGGAAUGCGCGGUGUAGCGGUGAAAUGCAUAGAUAUCGCGCAGAACUCCGAUUGCGAAGGCAGCAUGCCGGCUCCACACUGACGCUGAGGCACGAAAGCGUGGGUAUCGAACAGGAUUAGAUACCCGGGUAGUC